GAUGAACGCUGGCGGCGUGCUUAACACAUGCAAGUCGAACGAUGAUGCCCAGCUUGCUGGGUGGAUUAGUGGCGAACGGGUGAGUAACACGUGAGUAACCUGCCCUUGACUCUGGGAUAAGCCUGGGAAACUGGGUCUAAUACCGGAUACGACCAUCUGGCGCAUUUCAUGGUGGUGGAAAGCUUUUGUGGUUUUGGAUGGACUCGCGGCCUAUCAGCUUGUUGGUGGGGUAAUGGCCUACCAAGGCGACGACGGGUAGCCGGCCUGAGAGGGUGACCGGCCACACUGGGACUGAGACACGGCCCAGACUCCUACGGGAGGCAGCAGUGGGGAAUAUUGCACAAUGGGCGCAAGCCUGAUGCAGCGACGCCGCGUGAGGGAUGACGGCCUUCGGGUUGUAAACCUCUUUCAGUAGGGAAGAAGCGAAAGUGACGGUACCUGCAGAAGAAGCGCCGGCUAACUACGUG
rnacentral:rRNA from 1 species